ensembl:lncRNA
AUUCAAUCCAAGCUCCGCCGUGAGGGGCGGAACCUGGCCGACGGUCGCAACCAAUCAGCACCCGAUGUGCGGCGGCGCCGCGGCCAAUCGGCUGUUCGCUUCUUCGGGGGUGCGGUGUCCCCGUGCCCUGCUCUGCUGGCACAGGCUUGUCGCCGCUGCCGCUGCUUGAGGUGCAGCGGUAGCUGUAGCGGCCUGGCUUCGCUCUUGUUCUGUUUUCACUGAGGAUGAGCCCUUGCGGUGCCCAGCGCGCGUCCCGCCCUGUCCGUCCGAGCCCAUUCAUCUAGCGACUGGUCUCCCUUGCAAUUAUGGAGUUUUAGAAGAAUAAAGGAGUGUGGAGGGGGAAUCCCCCUCUCCACACGUAAGGUAGUCAGUUCACUUCAGAAUUUUGUAUGGACAUCAAUAUUUGUUAUAUAUGAUGGUGAAAUAAGACUUCUUAAAAUAUAUAUUUUUAAGUAUUUAUUUGGAUCAAGUGCCAAAUAUAACAUUACAAAGAUUUCUGAUGGCAGCUCAAUAAAACUGGAUUUGCAUCUUUGGAAUUACAAAUUUUUGAAGGCACUGUGUUGUAUACUGAGUUGGUGUGCCUUGAUAUUCUUAAUGGUUGUUCUCCUUAAGGAGAGGAGCAGCUUCCAAAGUGAAGAUGAAUUCUCUCAUGCCAGACUGCACUUCUAAGUGUCGAUCUCUACAGCAUGCUUUGGAUGUUAUUUCUGUAGUAACCAGAGGAAGUGAAGGCCAGAUCAAAGCUUUUCUUUCUUCUUACUGCUACAAUGCUGCAACUAUAAAGGAUGCCUUUGGUAGAAAUGUUCUACAUCUUGCUUCAUCCUGUGGCAAAAAAGGUGUGCUGGAUUGGUUGGCUGAGACCAAAGGAGUGGAUCUCUUGGCAAAAGACAAAGAGUCUGGAUGGACAGCUUUGCACAGAAGUAUAUUUUAUGGAUACAUUGAUUGUGUUUUGUCACUACUGAAGCAUGGUGUUAGUCUGUACAUUCAGGAUAAAGAAGGCUUAUCAGCCUUGGAUCUUGUGAUGAAAGACAGACCAGUUCAUGUGGUGUUCAAGAAAACUGAUCUCACAGAAGUCUACACGUGGGGAAACAAUAUAAAUUUUACAUUGGGUCAUGGAGGUCAACAGAGUAAACAUCAUCCUGAAUUGGUGGACCUCUUUCCUCGUAACAGCGUGUAUAUCAAACAGGUGGUACUCUGCAAAUUCCACUCGGUGUUCCUUUCCCACAAAGGUCAAAUUUAUACGUGUGGACAUGGACAAGGAGGGCGCCUAGGACAUGGUGAUGAGCAAACAUGCCUGGUUCCAAGACUUGUGGAAAGCUUAAGUAGUCACCAGUGCUCCCAAAUAGCAGCAGCUAAAGAUCAUACAGUUGUUUUAACAGAAGAUGGAUGUGUUUACACGUUUGGUCUAAAUACUUUCCACCAGUUAGGUAUUCUUCCUCCUCCUGCUAAUUGCAGUGUUCCUAGACAGGUUCAGGCAAAAAACCUGAAAGGUAGAAUGGUGAUUGGAGUGGCUGCAGGCAGAUUCCAUACAGUGCUAUGGACUAAGGAAGCAGUGUAUACCAUGGGGCUGAAUGGAGGCCAACUAGGUUAUCUGCUGGAUCCUAAUGGAGAAAAGUGUGUAACUGCGCCUCGACAAGUUUCUGCUCUACACCAUAAAGAUAUUUCUGUGUCGCUGGUGUCUGCAAGUGAUGGUGCUACAGUGUGUGUUACUGAAAGAGGGGAUAUCUAUUUACUUGCAGACUAUCAGUGCAAAAAGAUUGCUUCGAAACAGCUGAACCUUAAAAAAGUUUUAGUUAAUGGGGGCUAUUUGGAAUACAAGGUAGAUACCCAGCAUCUUAAAGAAAACGGGGGUCAGAAGAUCUGCAUUUUAGCACUGGAUGAAGCUGGAAGAAUUUUUUGCUGGAAGUCAUCUAAUAAUUCCAUGAAGCAAUGUCGUUGGGUAUACGGCCGACAAGUCUUCAUGUCUGAUGUUGCUUUGAAUAGGAACGAAAUGAUGUUUGUCACACAGGAUGGUGAAGCCUUUACUGGCAAGUGGCUAGAGGAAGGAAGAAAAAUGCGAGAGAAGAAAGAGCUAGUAUCAAGCCUUCCAAAUGCUUCCACUGAAAUGUCUUGUUCAUAUGAUACAAACAAUGUGUAUGAAAGAAUUCGACUUCAGAAACUUGCUUUUGUCCACCGAGCUGUUAGUAUUUCCACAGAUCCUAAUGGAUGCAAUUUUGCUGUUUUACAAUCAGACCCUAAAACAAGUCUCUAUGAAAUUCCGAGUGUAUCACUAUCAAGUUUUGGAGAAGAUUUUGGCAAGCUCUUAGAUGAAACAGAUGAAAUGGACAGCAUCCAUGAUGUGACUCUUCAGAUUGGCACCAGAACUUACGCUGUGCACAAAUACAUCUUGGCUGUACGCUCUGACUUCUUCAAGAAGCUGUUUGUUUCCAGUGAUAGUCAGCUGGAAACUCCAGAUGUCUACCGUAAAGAUGAAGAUGCUGUUGGAUGUGAUCUGUAUGUAAUAGAGAAAGUUCAUCCAGAUCUGUUUGCAUACCUUCUGCAGUUCAUAUACACUGAUACUUGUGAUCUUCUGACUCAUGGUUACAAACCAAAAAUCCUACAUAAAGAAAAAUCAGAAGAGUAUCAAGAUACUUUAAUUUCUAACCUGAACAAAAUGAGUUUUGAUGAAGAUGUUAAUAGGAAGUCUGCAUUUGAAAUUUACAGAAAUAAUCAAGUGCAAGUUUUAAAUGAAAAACAGAAGAACAAAUCUAAAAAAGGCAAAAUUGUAGGUGAAGAAGCUAAUCUCAUAAAAAUGUUGCAGAGCGCUGCAAAAAAAUUUGGACUCAGCAAUUUAAGUGGAAGAUUGGAUGGAGUCAGGUUAGAAAAUGGAAAAAUUAAUGUUGUCAACAGGAAGAAUGGGAACAAACUGAAGUUUAAUCAGAAAAAAUGUUCAUACCUCUGCGAUGUGACGUUGAAGUCUUCAGAUGGAAAGGAAUUCCCUUGUCAUAAGUGUGUACUUUGUGCAAGACUUGAUUAUUUUCACAGCAUGUUAAGCAGCUCCUGGAUUGAGGCUUCCUCUUGUUCUGCUCUGGAAAUGCCAAUACAUUCUGACAUACUGCAGAUAAUAGUAGAUUACCUGUAUACAGAUGAAGCUCUUGCAAUAAAAGAUUCUCAAAAUGUGGAAUUCAUAUGCAAUGUUCUUGUGGUAGCAGACCAACUUCUUAUAUCCAGGCUCAAAGAGAUAUGUGAAGUAGCCAUUGCAGAAAAACUUACUUUAAAGAAUGCUGCUGAGUUGCUGGAGUUUUCAGCAAUGUAUAAUGCUGAACAGUUGAAACUGUCCUGCCUGCAGUUCAUAGGACUCAAUAUGGCAGCUUUGCUUGAAACGAGGACUCUGGAUGUCUUAAGUGAUGAAGUUGUAAAGGAUCUUUCUGUUUAUUACAGGAAAAUGAUUCCUGCUAUGGUCAGGAGAGUAAUUACGCCAUAUCCAGAUGGACCUGACUUAAGUUGUUUUGAGCCUGAAGAGGGAGAGAACUUUGUUUUUAUAAGGGAAGAAAUGAAUACAGAACAGAAUUCUCAGGAAGCUCUUUUCAAAAGGGCAAAAACUAAAGCAAAAAAGAAGCCACGGAAACGCUCUGACAGCUCUGGUGGAUAUAAUCUCUCAGACAUUAUUCAGAGUCCAGCCUCUACAGGCUCCAUAAAACUGGAUAAAACCAACUCAGUAGAAUCUCUUCCAGAACUCCUAACAUCUGACUCAGAAGGUAGUUACGCAGGAGUGAGUAGCCCUAGAGACUUGCAGUCCCCUGACUUCACAAAAGUUUUUCAUCCAGAGAGGACUGAGAUGAAAGAUAAAGCAUACAGUCUGGUUAUGAAAGCCUCUCAACAGAACAAGGAGAUGAAGUCAUACAAGGGAUCAUUGGCAUUGACACAGUCUGUUCCACAGUCCAUUCCCAGUACCAAAACCAGCUCUGCAACCUCUCCCAAUUGGGUAGCAAGCAGUUUCAGCCCUGCCAGCCCUCCUGCUAUGGAUCUAAGAACUAUAAUGGAAAUAGAAGAAAAUAUGCAGAAAAGUGGAACUAUGCCAAAGACAAAUUCAAGCAGAAUGGCUUCUCAUGGAAUUAAGCUUUCUCAGAAGCAAAGGAAAAUGAUUGCACUGGCAGCAAAAGAUAAUGGGUCAGUAACUACCAGCACAGAGCCUACUCCACUUAUAACCAUACCACCCACACCUACGAAAGUUGUGAAGCUAGGAAAUGCAUGGUCAUCUUCAUUGCAUUCUGCUUUGCCAAAAUCAUUCCGUGAUCUUGUAAUGGAGGAAGAAAAAUACAUGAGUGCAAAUAAUUUGCCUGGUACUGCUAUCAAGAGAGCUGGAUGUAAAGGAGCUGAGGAUUCAGCAGUCCAAAGCACCACAAGAUGCGUGGCUCGAAGUAGCCCAGGUCCGGAAGGCCACGUUUUGGAUUCUCCUCAGCUAGAGAGCCAUAAUCCUUGGUUGGCAACAUCACCAACUAACUCUCCUGUCAUGGCACCUGUCAUGUUUGCAUCUAUUGUAGAGGAAGAGCGCCAGCAAGAAGCUGCUCUUAUUAGGAGCAGAGAAAAACCCUUGGCUUUGAUCCAGAUUGAGGAGUGUGCUAUUCAAGAUUUGUUAAUCCAUUAUGAAGCUUUUGACAACCCUGAUGAAUUUGUGACUGUUGAAAGGGCUCCACAGGGACCUAUGGCCACACCUAUGUGGAACAAGCACUAA